GAUCGCGUAACUCAGUUGGCAGAGCAUUGGGCUAGUAUUCCAAAGGUCGUAGGUUCGUUUCCCACCGUGGUCA